GUCAGAGCAAGAGAAGAGCAGAAAUACACUGUUUCAAGAAAAAGAGACAAGACGGAUACAAUACUGAACAAUCUGUUCGACUCCGUAGACGUACUGUUACUGUCACUGAUCUCUUCCUGCUGUAGAGAUGGAGACAUGGUUACUCUCACCAUUACUGCUACUGCUUGGAGUAACCGAUGCCCUGAACAUUUUGGAACACUCCGCACAUGCUGCCG